GGAGACCACGAGGGUGUUGAUAAGGAGUAGAGGGUAAUGAGCUCGAGUGUUGUGAAGCAAAUGGAGGCCUGGGAGGAAUGUGUCGCGAAAGGUCGGCGGGGAUGGCCCACGCCAUUUCGGAGGACGUAUUCGGCGCUAUCGGUGAGAGGUCACCUGUGAUCUGAGAUAAUACGGCAUUCCCAUGGUACUGCACCAAGGAGCCUCAAACGUCAAGGAAUUUGGGACCCGAAGAGGAGAUUGCGAUCGGUUCCAGCACUGGCUCUUAGAAAGUAGUAUUGCAGACACCAGGCGGCCCGCAGAAGUA
rnacentral:sRNA from 2 species